AGUGAACGCUGGCGGUAGGCCUAACACAUGCAAGUCGAACGGCAGCACAGUAAGAGCUUGCUCUUACGGGUGGCGAGUGGCGGACGGGUGAGGAAUACAUCGGAAUCUACUUUUUCGUGGGGGAUAACGUAGGGAAACUUACGCUAAUACCGCAUACGACCUACGGGUGAAAGCAGGGGAUCUUCGGACCUUGCGCGAAUGAAUGAGCCGAUGUCGGAUUAGCUAGUUGGCGGGGUAAAGGCCCACCAAGGCGACGAUCCGUAGCUGGCCUGAGAGGGUGAGAGGCCAGACUGGGAAUGAGACACGGCACAGACGCCUACGGGAGGCAGCAGUAGGGAAGCUUCGGAAAUGGACGGAAGUCUGACCGAGCAACGCCGCGUGAGUGAAGAAGGGUUUCGGAUCGUAAAGCUCUGUUGUAAGAGAAGAAAGAGUGUGAGAGUGGAAAGUUCACAGUGUGACGGUAUAUUACCAGAAAGGGACGGCUAACUAAGUG
rnacentral:rRNA from 1 species